UACGUAGGGUGCAAGCGUUGUCCGGAAUUAUUGGGCGUAAAGAGCUCGUAGGCGGUUUGUCGCGUCUGCUGUGAAAACCCGAGGCUCAACCUCGGGCCUGCAGUGGGUACGGGCAGACUAGAGUGCGGUAGGGGAGAUUGGAAUUCCUGGUGUAGCGGUGGAAUGCGCAGAUAUCAGGAGGAACACCAAUGGCGAAGGCAGCUCACUGGGACGGUAUUGACGCUGAGACGCGAAAGCGUGGGGAGCAAACAGG
rnacentral:rRNA from 1 species